AGCGAACGCUGGCGGCAGGCCUAAUACAUGCAAGUCGAACGGUCUCUUCGGAGGCAGUGGCGGACGGGUGAGUAACGCGUGGGAACGUGCCCUUUGGUACGGAACAACUGAGGGAAACUUCAGCUAAUACCGUAUGUGCCCUUCGGGGGAAAGAUUUAUCGCCAUUGGAGCGGCCCGCGUUGGAUUAGCUAGUUGGUGGGGUAAUGGCCCACCAAGGCGACGAUCCAUAGCUGGUCUGAGAGGAUGAUCAGCCACACUGGGACUGAGACACGGCCCAGACUCCUACGGGAGGCAGCAGUAGGGAAUCUUGCGCAAUGGGCGAAAGCCUGACGCAGCCAUGCCGCGUGAAUGAUGAAGGUCUUAGGAUUGUAAAAUUCUUUCACCGGGG
rnacentral:rRNA from 1 species